CUGCCGAAAGCUGACUUCGUCCGAGAACUCUAGGAUGAGGUUGUCCUGCGUCGGGCAAGAUCAGAACUGCCAUAAGACUGCAGGAAAACCCCUGAGGCCCAGGAUCUGGAGUGUGAGGCACCCUCUACCCACUUCAGGAGGAGAGCCACCUGAAUGCUGAGAAGGAGACUGGACUCCGAGGCCAAGGGCGUGCCUGGCCGACCUGCCCUCCCAGCCCGCCCCGGGCCCCCUGCCGGCUUCUCUCUGGCCUCUCUUUCAGGGUUUCACAGGGUGGGUCCAUCAAACCUGGCAGAGCACGCGGAGGCAGUCCCUUGAUCCAUCUUCUAGGAACUAGGAUGCACCUGUUGGGAGUCCCCGCUCCAGUGGACCUUUCCCGGGCUCCUUCCUUCCCAGCCUCUGCGGUGGCACCAGCUGUCUGGAAAAGGCACUGCUCCUAGGACCUGGGACUCUUGUUCCUGGCACCACCCGUGCCCCUCCCCCUCUGAAUAUCCAGUUCUCUACCCUCACGAAGGAGAUUCGAACUUCAGGCAGCCGGACAAAACCAAACACUCACGGGUUCUGAUUCCCUCCAAGGCCAAGGUCUCCUGAUCCUCAGUGGAGAAGGCUGGGCUGGACCCCUUCCCUUCAUCCCUCUUCUUUUCCCUUUUUGCUCCAGAGCGCUGCUCUGACCCUAAGGCUUUUCCAUUUACCAUCAACAUGGAAACUUGGCUCUUCACAUGGUAUAUUCUCCCUCUUUUGUGCAUUAUCUUGCUCCUCAAAAUGGCCCUUCCAUGAAGGAGGGAGAGGAUCAAGGGGCCUGGCUAGUCACCCAGGUCCCCAUAAAGCCUCUCAAGCCACAGGCUGAGUGGAAGUUGAAUAAAAGCUUCAUGUCCUUGACCACUGGGGCUUGUGGUUGGUGUGCUGAUUCUCAAGGGAAGACACAGGGGGAUUCUUUUUGUCCUUCCCAUCCAACCCCGGUGGAUGGUGUUUGUGCUGCAAUGAAGUAGUUAUAAGGGUGCCCCUGGCCCUCCCACCUCCGCCUUUGAGUAAAGCUCAUCACUGUCUCAGCUAGGGACCUGGCACCAGCUGGCUUACUAGACAUCUGGCAGGGUUUUCUGAGCAUUUGCAUUGUGCUAGGGCAGGAACUAAAGAAAUAAAUUUAUCCACCAGAAUGUCAGGUCACAAGAUGGAUGUAGGAGCAGGUAAAUAGUGAUUCAUAUUGAGGUUCUGGAAUUUUGUUAGUUACUAUUUUUAUAACUUUGUUCUUUUAGUCCUUGAGGAUAACUUUGUUCUGUUGGUCCUUGGCAGAGGAUAAAGGAAGAAUUGUAAAGGAACGGAUUACUGGUGGGAGGAGGUGUUGUCCUCGUUAGAGUGCGAAUGGAAGGUACUGGUAUCCCCCCACUGGCCUGUGCUGUGCACCUGGGAGGUGUGGGCAACUUUCCUGGAUCUCACAAUUGGGAGUGAAAGUUUUAGAACACAAAACAUCCGCCUAUGAGGCCUCAGAGCUUGCCCAGUGCCCCUGCCCCACUCCCAUUCCUGUUUUUCCUGUGAGUCACAGAGACCAGAGCUGAUUUGGCCAGAGGGCUUCCCUAAGACUGUUCCGGGGCCCUGGUUAUGUAUUUUUGUGCCCCAGUGCUGACCACAGAAUACUAGGGGGUUGUCUUCUGUAAUGGCUCUGGGGUCCUCUAAGGAACAGGAAUGGUGGAGCCUGUGCUAACCUGGAGCUCACUGCAGCAGAAGCAUGAGUUCUUCAGGAGCUCUUCCUUGGAGAACUUAAC